GACGAACGCUGGCGGCGUGCUUAACACAUGCAAGUCGAACGAUGAUGCCAGCUUGCUGGUGGAUUAGUGGCGAACGGGUGCGUAACACGUGAGCAACCUGCCCCUGACUUCGGGAUAACCGCGGGAAACCGUGGCUAAUACCGGAUAUGACGCGCUAUCGCAUGGUGGUGUGUGGAAAGAUUUAUCGGUUGGGGAUGGGCUCGCGGCCUAUCAGCUUGUUGGUGGGGUGAUGGCCUACCAAGGCGACGACGGGUAGCCGGCCUGAGAGGGUGACCGGCCACACUGGGACUGAGACACGGCCCAGACUCCUACGGGAGGCAGCAGUGGGGAAUAUUGCACAAUGGGCGCAAGCCUGAUGCAGCGACGCCGCGUGAGGGAUGACGGCCUUCGGGUUGUAAACCUCUUUCAGUAGGGAAGAAGGCCUUCGGGUUGACGGUACCUGCAGAAGAAGCGCCGGCUAACUACGUG
rnacentral:rRNA from 1 species